GACGAACCACACGAACGUUAUUCGGAAUUACUGGGCUUAAAGGGUGCGUAGGCUGUGCAGAAAGUUAGGUGUGAAAUCCCCCGGCUCAACCGGGGAAUUGCGCUUAAAACUACUGUGCUAGAGGAAUACAGAGGUGAGCGGAACGUUCGGGUGGAGCGGUGAAAUGCGUUGAUAUCCGGAAGGAACACCGGUGGCGAAAGCGGCUCACGUGGGUAUUUCGUGACGCUGAUGCACGGAAAGCCUAGGGGAGCGAAACGGG
rnacentral:rRNA from 1 species